rnacentral:lncRNA from 1 species
UCCCUGUGGGACGCGGAGGAAGGGAUAAUUGAUUCCGUUGGGGUGGGCUGGCGAAUGCACUCUGUCUGACUGGGCUGGAGUAGCACAGGCUUUCCAAGAAGAGGGAAAGCCUGAGCCAAGGCAAGAAUGGCACAAAAGAUGUGGCAUGUUGGUGCCAUCUGGACCCUGCUGCCUCCAAGGCCCCUCAGUCUUCAGGGUUUCAUAGCGUCAGCCCCAAAGUGGAGGAAUGGCACAGAUCUCUUAGAGGGCAACCCCAUGGCCAGGUCAGGGGGAGCUCUGAAGGGCACCUGCUUCCUCCUCUUCUCCAGAAGUUGGAGUGGAGGUGAGGAGGCCGCAGACACCUGCUCCAGGGCCAGACUCCACAUUCAGGGGGAGCCCUCAGUCCCCACACCUCCAGUAGGAAUAGCCUAGCUAAGAUUUCUCUAAGCCAGAGCGAGCACACAAGAGUGUUCGAACACACACACACACAGAGCUGCAGGCCUGGCUCCCCUGAUCCUCAUCCUCUUAGUGCUCACCCUCCUCCCCUUCCACGAGCAGCAGCUUCCCCUUCACACCAAGCUGAGCAUCACCAAGCACCCGAUGCCAGACAGAUGGCGGGAAAGAGCGUUUGCUCGGAGGGGGGAUGGGCCGCAAGGUCACUGCUGACAGUGAGGGCCCAGCUGCAGGGCUGGGGAAUAACAAAUGGUCUCCCCCCCCAUCCUGGUGGCUCUGCUGGGCCCUUUUGCCGACCACCUGUGUUCAGCUGAGAUGCGCUUCAGCUUGGAGCCGGGAAGCAGAAUCCACACAAGGUUUAGUCUCCCCCACACCCACCCUCACUGUUUCCUUCUCUUUCCUCUUUCUUAAAUUGGAGCCUUAGUCAUGCUUCCCUCUCCCCUGUACUCUGUCUUCUCUUUCUUUUGCUGGUGGUGGGGGAAGUUGGGGAAUGGGAAAUGGUCUGAAGGCCUGGGGAGUGACAAAGAAAAACCCCGCAGUCCUGAUACUCAGAAAACAGCCGGAGGCUCACAGCUAAGCCAAGCUGUGCUCCUGUUGGGUAUAAACGGUCUCAUAGAGCACCAACCUCAGCCAAGUUUACUCUGAGACCAAGACUAAAUGAGAUGAAGCAAGCCACUUCAUAAUUGUGUCUAAGACAAAAAUUAAGGUCACUCUGCCAUCCACCAAAGACCCCUUCUCUUGGCCAAGAUGAGUCAAUGCUACUUGACCAAUUUCAACUUUGUCCUCAUUCUAGUCUCCCCUCCCCAUGGGUGGGACUUCCUGAAUAGUCAUAGAGUCAAAUAAUCAUAGAAGUGCCCCCGUUUCUGAAGCCAUCUGAUCUAGAGCACCCCCACUUCCUGAGACCCUACUCCAAGUCACCCCAUCAAAGCUCAAGUGCUAUGAUGGCUUCUUUCUAAGACCCUCUUGUGGGGAGAAAGUGCCUAUCAUUCCCCACAGGGACAUAGUGAGUGACAGACUCAUCUGGUUUAAUGAUGGAUAUCUUCCCGUUCUUGGCUGAAGGGCAUGGACAGAGUUAGAGGUUCCACCAAGAUUCAGCUGAGGCCAGGACCCUCACUCAAUGUAUUAACAGCGCACACAUAUUUCAGGGGGUGGGCCCAGGUCUUGGAAUGUUUUUUUAAAGCUCCCCAGAUGAUUAUAAUGUGCAGCCUGGAUUUUAAGCGAUUGGGUGACAAGUCAAUUCAGGGGGCUGCAGUGAGAUCAGAAAAAGUGAUGCCUGUAAAGCACUGGGCUUGGGCCCUGCACUGGUGCUCAGUUACUGUGAGCUGUCAUGUGUUGGCUUCUGUGCCUUAUUCAUUUUGCUGUCCUUCUCAAUAAACAGCUGUCGAAGGGACGUUGAUGUUGCUGAUGGGAGGCUGCGAAUCACGUCAAAUGUAAUACAUCUUGAGCAUGCCACCAUUUUUCUCCCCAAACCGUCUCUCAGGGUUCUCAUCAAGGCCGGAGCCGGAGCCGGAGCCGGGACCAGAGGCUCUGACUCAUCCCAGUGCCCUGGCCCAUCUCCCCGCAGGAUCUCAAGCGCCACCUGCCUCCUUUCUGUCUCUUAGACCCCUCUGCCUUUAUUCAGCUCAUAAUCUCCAAGAUCAUUCUUUCUAGAGCUUGGCCUGACCAUGACACACCCCAGCUCAGACACCCUCUGUGGAUCCUCAUCACCUCCUGAUGAAGGUCAUACCCUUAUCUUGACAUUCAAGGCCUUCUCUAAUCCAGCGCCCCCUCACAUACAUAUCAUACUGAAAUGAUGUGUUCUAAGCAUUAGAUAUCCUUCAUGUCUUCACAUCAUUGUACUUUGCUUAUUCUGAUCCAGCUGCCUGGACUGCCCUUCCCACCUCUUUUUCCCUAUAUAAAUCCUACUUAUCAAAUUCUAGCUUAAAUGCCACUUCUUCCAUCCCUAUCACCUCAACCAGAUGGGGUCACUGCCCUUUAUCAUCUCUUAAAACUAUCCUCCUCUUUAAAUUCACUUGGCUGAGAAGCCAGGCUUGGGAGUUCCCCUUGAGGCUCAGUGGUAAUGAACCCAACUAGUAUUUGUGAGGAUGCAGGUUCGAUCCCUGGCCUUGAUCAGUGGGUUAAGGAUCCAGCGUUUUCAUGAGCAGUGCUGUAGGUCACAGAUGCAGCUCAGAUCCCAUGUUGCUGUGGCUGUGGUGUAGACUGGCAGCUACAGCUCUGAUUCGAUCCCUAGCCUGGGAACUUGCGUAUGUCACCAGUGAGGCCCUGAAAGGAAAAAAAAAGACAAAAGAAGCCAGGCUUUGCUGUCAAGAAACACUGACCUUACACUUCAAUUUCCUUUCCUACUAGUCCAAUGAAUUGGGGCAAGUGUUUUGACUUCUUAGCCUCACUUUCUUCACAUGCACAAUGGGGAUAAUCUCAUAGAGGGAUGAUGAGGGUGACAUGCGAUAAUCACAUGCAGAAUCCCUCAAGUAGAACCCGGCAGAGGAGAUCCCCUGUGGCCCAGCGGUUAAGGGUUCGGCAUUGUUGCUGCUGUGGUGUGGAUUCAAUUCCUGGCCAGGGAACUUCUGCAUGCCACAGGCACAG